CUAAGGCUAAAUACUCUCUAGUGACCGAUAGUGAACCAGUACCGUGAGGGAAAGGUGAAAAGCACCCCGGAAGGGGAGUGAAAUAGAACCUGAAACCGUGUGCUUACAAGUAGUCAGAGCCCGUUAAUGGGUGAUGGCGUGCCUUUUGUAGAAUGAACCGGCGAGUUACGAUUUGAUGCAAGGUUAAGCAGUAAAUGUGGAGCCGUAGCGAAAGCGAGUCUGAAUAGGGCGUUUAGUAUUUGGUCGUAGACCCGAAACCAGGUGAUCUACCCUUGGUCAGGUUGAAGUUCAGGUAACACUGAAUGGAGGACCGAACCGACUUACGUUGAAAAGUGAGCGGAUGAACUGAGGGUAGCGGAGAAAUUCCAAUCGAACCUGGAGAUAGCUGGUUCUCUCCGAAAUAGCUUUAGGGCUAGCCUCAAGUGAUGAUUAUUGGAGGUAGAGCACUGUUUGGACGAGGGGCCCCUCUCGGGUUACCGAAUUCAGACAAACUCCGAAUGCCAAUUAAUUUAACUUGGGAGUCAGAACAUGGGUGAUAAGGUCCGUGUUCGAAAGGGAAACAGCCCAGACCACCAGCUAAGGUCCCAAAAUAUAUGUUAAGUGGAAAAGGAUGUGGCGUUGCCCAGACAACUAGGAUGUUGGCUUAGAAGCAGCCAUCAUUUAAAGAGUGCGUAAUAGCUCACUAGUCGAGUGACACUGCGCCGAAAAUGUACCGGGGCUAAACAUAUUACCGAAGCUGUGGAUUGUCCUUUGGACAAUGGUAGGAGAGCGUUCUAAGGGCGUUGAAGCAUGAUCGUAAGGACAUGUGGAGCGCUUAGAAGUGAGAAUGCCGGUGUGAGUAGCGAAAGACGGGUGAGAAUCCCGUCCACCGAUUGACUAAGGUUUCCAGAGGAAGGCUCGUCCGCUCUGGGUUAGUCGGGUCCUAAGCUGAGGCCGACAGGCGUAGGCGAUGGAUAACAGGUUGAUAUUCCUGUACCACCUAUAAUCGUUUUA
rnacentral:rRNA from 1 species